rnacentral:rRNA from 1 species
UACGUAGGUCCCGAGCGUUGUCCGGAUUUAUUGGGCGUAAAGCGAGCACAGGUGGUUUAUUAAGUCUGGUGUAAAAGGCAGUGGCUCAACCAUUGUAUGCAUUGGAAACUGGUAGACUUGAGUGCAGGAGAGGAGAGUGGAAUUCCAUGUGUAGCGGUGAAAUGCGUAGAUAUAUGGAGGAACACCGGUGGCGAAAGCGGCUCUCUGGUCUGUAACUGACGCUGAGGCUCGAAAGCGUGGGUAGCGAACAGG